rnacentral:tRNA from 1 species
UGUAGCUCAGUGGUAGAGCUUUUGCGUGACAUGCAUAAAGCCCUAGGUUUAGUCCCUAGCA